rnacentral:rRNA from 1 species
GCAUAAUCAUUAGUCUUUUAAUUGAAGGCUCGUAUGAAUGGCGGGACGGGGUUCUUACUGUCUCUUUUAAAAUAAUUUGGAAUUUAAUUUUUUAGUCAAAAAGCUAAAAUUUCUUUGGAGGACGAGAAGACCCUAUAGAGCUUGAUACAUAUAAAUUAUUUUUAAUUUAAUUAUAAAGAAUAAUACAACUGUAUUUUGUUGGGGUGACAGGAAGAUAAAUUAAACUCUUCUUUUUAUAUUUCAUAAAUUAAUGUAUUUAUGAUCCAUUUGUUAUGAUUAAAAGAAUAAGUUACCUUAGGGAUAACAGCGUAAUUUUUCUUGAGAGUUCUUAUCGACAGAAGAGUUUGCGACCUCGAUGUUGGACUAAGAUAAAUUUGGGGUGCAGAAGCUCAAAUAUUAGGUCUGUUCGACCUUUAAAAUCUUACAU